CCUUACUCUGUUGUUUAUCGUUUCUGAUCCUCCUCAAAUGAUAGAUUUAUCAUCCCGCUUUUGUUCUCUACCACAUUUAACGACGGCAUCAUCUCAGCGGCAGUGGCUCAGCGAUGACAUUUUGGUCUGAUGAGAAGUUUGUGAUAGAUUUGAAUUAAAGGGUUAUCAGGGAUGUGGAAUCGGUUAUGAAACCAUGGGGUGGUUCACAGGGAAAAUUAAUUGGUUUAUUGGCUCAUGGUGUAGAAAAAAAACGUCCGAGGCGUCUGUAUUGAGGUGCGUGUCUCGAGGCGAGACGGGAAGAAAUCGUUUUUGAGGCGGCGCAUCGCUGGUUAAUUAUGUUUCGCAUACCCCAAUAGUAUUGACAAAAGAGAUCACUCUUGCAGUGUCAUUCUUGAUUCAUUUGAGCUUUGGUAAUUAGUUUCACUGGUAUAAUCAUUGUUUUUGUUCAUCACCUGUUCAUGAGAUGGAUUCCAAGAUUUUGAAGAACUAGAGGUAUGCAAGGAAGCACAUGAAAUAGAGUGGGAAAAUUUCUAUAGAAAAAUAUAUGUUUUGAGGUUAGUUGUCAUUUUUUUAGUUUUUGUUAUCAACUAGAACUUUUAGGGGUGUUGUUGGGUUUCUAGUUUUUCUGCUUGGCUUAAUCGGGUAUUUUCAAUUUGAAAAUGUAACCAAUACUUGAACUAAUUUAUCGUAGUUUAAGUCUUUUUUUUCUUUAUGGGUUUCGUUAUACUUAAAAGACAAAAGCAUUGUAACUUAAAUAUAAUAUUGCAUACACUUGAAUGGAACCGAAAAUGCAACGGGUGAACCGAUUACCCGAUUCUUAAAAUCCGACCUACUUGAACUGGCUUACUCGAAUCUUAAACGGGUCAGUGGGUUUAUUAAGGCAUCCAUUGUUUUUGACGGGCCUAAGAACAUUAAUUUAAUCACCAGGCUUUUAAAUUUGGUGUAGAUUUAAUAUGAUGUUAUUUGUGGAUAUCUUUUUGUGUCAAACUUUACCUUUCUUUUUUAUGAAAAAACGACAGGUUUUAAUGUUUACUUAUUUUUGCCAAAACAUGUUUUGACCGUAAUCAAUAUGACCAUUCAUUUUGACCUGACACUGGCUACUUGAUCUUUGUUCUCUUGAUCUAGUCUUGAAAGAUGCAAACUUUCACUGUUUCACAUAACUACAUUUUUCUGUUCAACUUUUUAACACUUUACCUCAUAUUUCUAUAUCAUGUUACUAUUUUCUUGUGUUUUUACAGACUUUGACAGCUCUAGCAACUUCCUUUCAUGUGCUACAACCUUUGACAUAUUCUAUAUCUCGCUUUGUAUGGGUUAAGUUACUAAGUGACAUAAAUUUCCCGCCGAAACAAUGAGUAGAAAUGGUCUGAAGAGGUGACCAUAGUUCCAACAUUUGAUGGUAGAAAUGUUUAACGGAGCCUUUCUUGAGGAACGUUGAACUUGUAUCUUUACCAGAAUUAUACCAUCUGACAGACAUCAACAAAGCUUGGAGGCUCUGAUGUGGGAGCUAUCAAACAACUAUCACUUGAAGAUCAAGACGAGUAGAAUAUUCUCUUUAUUAUUAGGAUGUUAUAUGUUGAUGUUAUACUAUAACUAUUAGGAUGUUAUAUGUUGAUGGUCUAUUUAUAAAAUUGGUUUUAU
rnacentral:lncRNA from 1 species